AACCUUUACAAUGCACGCAAGUGUGAUAAGGGGAUUCCAAGUGCUAAUGCUCUGCAUUGGCUUUUGCCAAGAGUAAAUAUCUUGGCGAAUAAGUGGUGGGCAAGACUGGUGCCAGCCGCCGCGGUAACACCAGCGCCACAAGUGGGGACCGCGUUUAUUUGGCCUAAAGCGUCCGUAGCCGGUUGUGUAAAUUCUCUGUGAAAUCGUUGGGCUUAACCCAACGGCGUGCAGAGAACACUGCACAACUUGGAACUGGGAGGAGUCAGAAGUAUUCCAGGGGGAGCGGUAAAAUGCUAUAAUCCCUGGAGGACUACCAAUGGCGAAGGCAUCUGACCAGAACAGAUUCGACGGUGAGGGACGAAAGCCAGGGGAGCGAUCCGG
rnacentral:rRNA from 1 species